GGGUGCUUAGCUCAGCUGGUUAGAGCACCUGCCUUACAAGCAGGUGGUCAAAGGUUCGAAUCCUUUAGCACCCACCA
rnacentral:tRNA from 1 species